rnacentral:rRNA from 1 species
UGACGACCGGCGCACGGGUGCGUAACGCGUAUACAAUCUACCUUGUACAGAGGAAUAGCCUUUAGAAAUGAAGAUUAAUGCCUCAUAGUCUAUUAAUAUAGCAUUAUAUAAAUAGUAAAGCUUCGGCGGUAUAAGAUGAGUAUGCGUCCUAUUAGUUAGUUGGUAAGGUAACGGCUUACCAAGACAGCGAUAGGUAGGGGCCCUGAGAGGGGGAUCCCCCACACUGGUACUGAGACACGGACCAGACUCC